rnacentral:rRNA from 1 species
UACGAAGGGGGCUAGCGUUGCUCGGAAUUACUGGGCGUAAAGCGCACGUAGGCGGAUUGCUAAGUCAGGGGUGAAAUCCUGGAGCUCAACUCCAGAACUGCCUUUGAUACUGGCGAUCUCGAGUCCGGGAGAGGUGAGUGGAACUGCGAGUGUAGAGGUGAAAUUCGUAGAUAUUAGGAAGAACACCAGUGGCGAAGGCGGCUCACUGGCCCGGUACUGACGCUGAGGCGCGAAAGCGUGGGGAGCAAACAGG